GUGGCUAUAGCUCAAUUGGUUAGAGCGCCUGCCUGUGGAGCAGGAGGUUGCCGGUUCAAGUCCGGUUAGCCACC
rnacentral:tRNA from 1 species